GACGAACGCUGGCGGCGUGCUUAACACAUGCAAGUCGAACGGGGGCUAGCAAGGAGUAAUCCGAACUAGACCUAGUGGCGGACGGGUGCGUAACGCGUGAACAAUCUGUCCCUUUGAGGGGAAUAACACUUAGAAAUAGGUGCUAAUACCGCAUAAGACCACGAAGUCGCAUGGCUUUGAGGUAAAAGGGCUUCGGCCCGCAGAGGGGUGAGUUCGCGUCCCAUUAGCUAGUUGGUGAGGUAACGGCCCACCAAGGCUACGAUGGGUAGCCGAUCUGAGAGGAUGACCGGCCACACUGGAACUGAGAAACGGUCCAGACUCCUACGGGAGGCAGCAGUGGGGAAUAUUGGGCAAUGGGCGAAAGCCUGACCCAGCAACGCCGCGUGAGGGAAGAAGGUUUUCGGAUCGUAAACCUCUGUCGCAGGGGACGAGUAGAUGACGGUACCCUGCAAGGAAGCUCCGGCUAACUACGUGCCAGCCGCCGCAGUAAUAC
rnacentral:rRNA from 1 species